AUGAACGCUGGCGGCGUGCCUAAUACAUGCAAGUCGAGCGAACAGACGAGGAGCUUGCUCCUCUGACGUUAGCGGCGGACGGGUGGGUAACACGUGGAUAACCUACCUAUAAGACUGGGAUAACUUCGGGAAACCGGAGCUAAUACCGGAUAAUAUAUUGAACCGCAUGGUUCAAUAGUGAAAGACGGUUUUGCUGUCACUUAUAGAUGGAUCCGCGCCGCAUUAGCUAGUUGGUAAGGUAACGGCUUACCAAGGCAACGAUGCGUAGCCGACCUGAGAGGGUGAUCGGCCACACUGGAACUGAGACACGGUCCAGACUCCUACGGGAGGCAGCAGUAGGGAAUCUUCCGCAAUGGGCGAAAGCCUGACGGAGCAACGCCGCGUGAGUGAUGAAGGUCUUCGGAUCGUAAAACUCUGUUAUUAGGGAAGAACAAAUGUGUAAGUAACUAUGCACGUCUUGACGGUACCUAAUCAGAAAGCCACGGCUAACUACGU
rnacentral:rRNA from 1 species